rnacentral:rRNA from 1 species
UAGGGAGCAAGCGUUAUCCGGAUUUACUGGGUGUAAAGGGCGAGUAGGCGGGCUGGCAAGUUGGGAGUGAAAUCCCGGGGCUUAACCUCGGAACUGCUUUCAAAACUGCUGGUCUUGAGUGAUGGAGAGGCAGGCGGAAUUCCGUGUGUAGCGGUGAAAUGCGUAGAUAUACGGAGGAACACCAGUGGCGAAGGCGGCCUGCUGGACAUUAACUGACGCUGAGGAGCGAAAGCGUGGGGAGCA